GCGCCUAUAGCUCAGCGGACAAGAGCAUCGGUCUUCGGAACCGGGGGUCGUGGGUUCAAAUCCCUCUAGGCGCGCUA
rnacentral:tRNA from 4 species